rnacentral:rRNA from 1 species
AUUGAACGCUGGCGGCAUGCCUUACACAUGCAAGUCGAACGGCAGCGCGGGGGCAACCCUGGCGGCGAGUGGCGAACGGGUGAGUAAUGUAUCGGAACGUAUCCUGUAAUGGGGGAUAACCAGUCGAAAGAUUGGGUAAUACCGCAUACGCACGAGAGUGGAAAGUAGGGGAUCGCAAGACCUUACGUUAUAGGAGCGGCCGAUAUCUGAUUAGCUAGUUGGUGGGGUAAAGGCCUACCAAGGCGACGAUCAGUAGCUGGUCUGAGAGGAUGAUCAGCCACACUGGGACUGAGACACGGCCCAGACUCCUACGGGAGGCAGCAGUGGGGAAUUUUGGGACAAUGGGCGAAAGCCUGAUCCAGCCAUGCCGCGUGCGGGAA